UUAAGCGACUAAGCGUACACGGUGGAUGCCCUGGCAGUCAGAGGCGAUGAAGGACGUGCUAAUCUGCGAUAAGCGUCGGUAAGGUGAUAUGAACCGUUAUAACCGGCGAUUUCCGAAUGGGGAAACCCAGUGUGUUUCGACACACUAUCAUUAACUGAAUCCAUAGGUUAAUGAGGCGAACCGGGGGAACUGAAACAUCUAAGUACCCCGAGGAAAAGAAAUCAACCGAGAUUCCCCCAGUAGCGGCGAGCGAACGGGGAGGAGCCCAGAGCCUGAAUCAGUGUGUGUGUUAGUGGAAGCGUCUGGAAAGGCGCGCGAUACAGGGUGACAGCCCCGUACACAAAAAUGCACAUACUGUGAGCUCGAUGAGUAGGGCGGGACACGUGGUAUCCUGUCUGAAUAUGGGGGGACCAUCCUCCAAGGCUAAAUACUCCUGACUGACCGAUAGUGAACCAGUACCGUGAGGGAAAGGCGAAAAGAACCCCGGCGAGGGGAGUGAAAAAGAACCUGAAACCGUGUACGUACAAGCAGUGGGAGCCUCUUUUAUGGGGUGACUGCGUACCUUUUGUAUAAUGGGUCAGCGACUUAUAUUCUGUAGCAAGGUUAACCGAAUAGGGGAGCCGAAGGGAAACCGAGUCUUAACUGGGCGUUAAGUUGCAGGGUAUAGACCCGAAACCCGGUGAUCUAGCCAUGGGCAGGUUGAAGGUUGGGUAACACUAACUGGAGGACCGAACCGACUAAUGUUGAAAAAUUAGCGGAUGACUUGUGGCUGGGGGUGAAAGGCCAAUCAAACCGGGAGAUAGCUGGUUCUCCCCGAAAGCUAUUUAGGUAGCGCCUCGUGAAUUCAUCUCCGGGGGUAGAGCACUGUUUCGGCAAGGGGGUCAUCCCGACUUACCAACCCGAUGCAAACUGCGAAUACCGGAGAAUGUUAUCACGGGAGACACACGGCGGGUGCUAACGUCCGUCGUGAAGAGGGAAACAACCCAGACCGCCAGCUAAGGUCCCAAAGUCAUGGUUAAGUGGGAAACGAUGUGGGAAGGCCCAGACAGCCAGGAUGUUGGCUUAGAAGCAGCCAUCAUUUAAAGAAAGCGUAAUAGCUCACUGGUCGAGUCGGCCUGCGCGGAAGAUGUAACGGGGCUAAACCAUGCACCGAAGCUGCGGCAGCGACACUAUGUGUUGUUGGGUAGGGGAGCGUUCUGUAAGCCUGUGAAGGUGUACUGUGAGGUAUGCUGGAGGUAUCAGAAGUGCGAAUGCUGACAUAAGUAACGAUAAAGCGGGUGAAAAGCCCGCUCGCCGGAAGACCAAGGGUUCCUGUCCAACGUUAAUCGGGGCAGGGUGAGUCGACCCCUAAGGCGAGGCCGAAAGGCGUAGUCGAUGGGAAACAGGUUAAUAUUCCUGUACUUGGUGUUACUGCGAAGGGGGGACGGAGAAGGCUAUGUUGGCCGGGCGACGGUUGUCCCGGUUUAAGCGUGUAGGCUGGUUUUCCAGGCAAAUCCGGAAAAUCAAGGCUGAGGCGUGAUGACGAGGCACUACGGUGCUGAAGCAACAAAUGCCCUGCUUCCAGGAAAAGCCUCUAAGCAUCAGGUAACAUCAAAUCGUACCCCAAACCGACACAGGUGGUCAGGUAGAGAAUACCAAGGCGCUUGAGAGAACUCGGGUGAAGGAACUAGGCAAAAUGGUGCCGUAACUUCGGGAGAAGGCACGCUGAUAUGUAGGUGAAGUCCCUCGCGGAUGGAGCUGAAAUCAGUCGAAGAUACCAGCUGGCUGCAACUGUUUAUUAAAAACACAGCACUGUGCAAACACGAAAGUGGACGUAUACGGUGUGACGCCUGCCCGGUGCCGGAAGGUUAAUUGAUGGGGUCAGCGCAAGCGAAGCUCUUGAUCGAAGCCCCGGUAAACGGCGGCCGUAACUAUAACGGUCCUAAGGUAGCGAAAUUCCUUGUCGGGUAAGUUCCGACCUGCACGAAUGGCGUAAUGAUGGCCAGGCUGUCUCCACCCGAGACUCAGUGAAAUUGAACUCGCUGUGAAGAUGCAGUGUACCCGCGGCAAGACGGAAAGACCCCGUGAACCUUUACUAUAGCUUGACACUGAACAUUGAGCCUUGAUGUGUAGGAUAGGUGGGAGGCUUAGAAGUGUGGACGCCAGUCUGCAUGGAGCCGACCUUGAAAUACCACCCUUUAAUGUUUGAUGUUCUAACGUUGACCCGUAAUCCGGGUUGCGGACAGUGUCUGGUGGGUAGUUUGACUGGGGCGGUCUCCUCCUAAAGAGUAACGGAGGAGCACGAAGGUUGGCUAAUCCUGGUCGGACAUCAGGAGGUUAGUGCAAUGGCAUAAGCCAGCUUGACUGCGAGCGUGACGGCGCGAGCAGGUGCGAAAGCAGGUCAUAGUGAUCCGGUGGUUCUGAAUGGAAGGGCCAUCGCUCAACGGAUAAAAGGUACUCCGGGGAUAACAGGCUGAUACCGCCCAAGAGUUCAUAUCGACGGCGGUGUUUGGCACCUCGAUGUCGGCUCAUCACAUCCUGGGGCUGAAGUAGGUCCCAAGGGUAUGGCUGUUCGCCAUUUAAAGUGGUACGCGAGCUGGGUUUAGAACGUCGUGAGACAGUUCGGUCCCUAUCUGCCGUGGGCGCUGGAGAACUGAGGGGGGCUGCUCCUAGUACGAGAGGACCGGAGUGGACGCAUCACUGGUGUUCGGGUUGUCAUGCCAAUGGCACUGCCCGGUAGCUAAAUGCGGAAGAGAUAAGUGCUGAAAGCAUCUAAGCACGAAACUUGCCCCGAGAUGAGUUCUCCCUGAGACUAUAAGUCUCCUGAAGGAACGUUGAAGACGACGACGUUGAUAGGCCGGGUGUGUAAGCGCAGCGAUGCGUUGAGCUAACCGGUACUAAUGAACCGUGAGGCUUAACCUU
rnacentral:rRNA from 1 species